GAUGAAGAACGUAGCGAAAUGCGAUAAGUAGUGUGAAUUGCAGAAUUCAGUGAAUCAUCGAAUCUUUGAACGCACAUUGCGCCCCUUGGUAUUCCAUGGGGCAUGCCUGUUCGAGCGUCAUUUGUACCUUCAAGCUCUGCUUGGUGUUGGGUGUUUGUCUCGCCUCUGCGUGUAGACUCGCCUCAAAAUAAUUGGCAGCCGGCGUAUUGAUUUCGGAGCGCAGUACAUCUCGCGCUUUGCACUCAUAACGACGACGUCCAAAAGUACAUUUUUACACUCUUGACCUCGGAUCAGGUAGGGAUACCCGCUGAACUUAAGCAUAUCAAUAGCGGAGA
rnacentral:misc_RNA from 1 species